rnacentral:rRNA from 1 species
AUUGAACGCUGGCGGCAGGCCUAACACAUGCAAGUCGAGCGGAUGAAGGGAGCUUGCUCCUGGAUUCAGCGGCGGACGGGUGAGUAAUGCCUAGGAAUCUGCCUGGUAGUGGGGGAUAACGUCCGGAAACGGGCGCUAAUACCGCAUACGUCCUGAGGGAGAAAGUGGGGGAUCUUCGGACCUCACGCUAUCAGAUGAGCCUAGGUCGGAUUAGCUAGUUGGUGGGGUAAAGGCCUACCAAGGCGACGAUCCGUAACUGGUCUGAGAGGAUGAUCAGUCACACUGGAACUGAGACACGGUCCAGACUCCUACGGGAGGCAGCAGUGGGGAAUAUUGGACAAUGGGCGAAAGCCUGAUCCAGCCAUGCCGCGUGUGUGAAGAAGGUCUUCGGAUUGUAAAGCGCUUUAAGUUGGGAGGAAGAGCAGUAAGUUAAUACCUUGCUGUUUUGACGUUACCAACAGAAUAAGCACCGGCUAACUUCGUG